rnacentral:tRNA from 1 species
GCCCUCAUAGUUAAAUGGAUAUAACAGCCCCCUCCUAAGGGGCAGUUAUGGGUUCGAUUCCCGUUGGGGGUGCCA